UGUCACUUUCUCCGCGGACAGGCGUCGCUUCCAGCUCUGACAGGAGCUGCGGCUCGGAAGGUGAGAGGUCCCGGCGCUGGAAGAGCUGCUGUGGCUUCUGACCUGUGGGCCCUUCCUCACUUUCCCCGUGAAUUCUCCGCCGUGUCUGUCUCCCAGUGUCCGGGGUCCCACCGAGUAUACAGUAGGAUGUCCACAGCUGCUUCCUUCUCCCCAGGUCUAACCCCCAAAGCCCAGAGAUUUCUGGAUCCAAUCUUCCUUCCCGGCACCCCCAAUCUCAGCCCGUGUUCACCUCCCCCGCCCCAGUUUUGGCUUCUCUGGCCCCUCUGCUUCUUCCACCUCCUUCCUUCUCCUCUCCCUGCCUCCUGCUGGACCCCCUCCGCAACCUCUGUGGCCCCUUGGAGCCUGCCUCCUAGGCCCCUUCAGGUCUUGCGAUAUCACAACCCAGUGUGAGGAUCAGUUGGAACGAGAGGAAGCUCCUUGGACUCCAGAGGGAGAAGGUUCCCCCAGGGCAGCUGGGGGUGGUGGUGAUUGCGUUACUAGCCCUGAAAGCAAGGAGCCAUUUCCCAAGCAGGACACUUCUAUGGAACAGUCACCCCUGGAGACCCACUCAUGGAGUGAUUUGUCUCUAACCUAAGAGAAGCCUGGGAAUAUGUGGUGUUGACUUAGAGAAGCUGCAUAUCAAGGAAGACAAAUGUUCUCGGAAGUUCAAGGUCGGCCAGAGAAAUACUUCUGAUCAAGUGGAUGGGACUCACGCUAGCACAAAGUUAUAUGAAUGCAAUGAUUGUGGGAAAGCUUUCACUCAGAGUUCAUCCCUUACUUUCCAUCUUUGGAUUCAUUCUGAAGAGAAACCAUUUGGAUGUGGUGACUCUGGGAAGGCAUUUUGCCUGAACAAACAGCUUGUUAGACAGCAGAAAAUUCAUACUGGAGAGAAGCAGCCUUAUGAAUGGGAAGACCUUUCUCCAGACUACAGAACUUAAUCAACAUGGGAGUAUUCAUGCUAGAGAAAAACUAUAUAAGUGUAAUGAAUAUGGGAAGAUCUUCACCGAAGUUCAUCUUUUCUUUCCCAUCAGGCAAGUCAGAAAGAGAGAGAGAGAGAGAGAGAGAGAGAGAAACUUUGAGUGUCAUGUGGAAAGGGUUUCUGCUUGAGAAAACAGUUUACUGGACACCAGACAAUUCAUUCUGGAGAGAAACGUAGAAAGGCCUUCACCUGCAACUCUUCCCUUUUUCCCAUCAUAGGAUCCAUACUGGAGAGAGACCUUCUGAAUGUAAUGAAUAUGGCAGAGCCUUUAGCUGGAGAAUUAAUGUAUCAUCCAGAAUUCACCCCAGAGAGAGACCUUAUGUAUGCCUUGAAUGGGGACAGGCUUUGGCCUGAGGAUCAGCCAAAGAUUGGAGGAGGGGGUGGGGCCGUGUGAUGUCAUUUCUGCUCCUUGCUGCUUCCGCCAAGGCUUUUGAAGGCUGUCAAUUCCUGGGCUCUCUCCUCCUUGAGCUAGUCUGGUUUUGUGUGUGAGAUGGAGAACAAGCUUCCUGUGAGCACGUGUCCACCUGCGUGUGCAUGUGUGAACGCACAUGUGAGGAAGGGUGUAUGUUCACCUGUGUGCGUGCACUUAUGGGCACCUAAGUGAGUGGUUGGGGAAGCAUUCAUGGGGAGCCUGCCUAGGUGCAGGAGGGGGAGGGCACUACGGAGCCCAAGGUCCCCCUCAUGCCCUGCUUUCGCUGCCGGGGCUGACUUCCCAGUGUCCAUCUGUGCAUCUCCGGACGCAGUGACCCUGUGAGGAGCAGGGAUGGCUCCGGUGCUGCCCUCAGCCAGUUCUCUGCAGGAAGAAAGAGAACAUUGUACAUGGCAACAGGAAGAUUAUA